UACGAAGGGGGCUAGCGUUGUUCGGAAUCACUGGGCGUAAAGGGCGCGUAGGCGGCUUUAUAAGUCGGGGGUGAAAGCCUGUGGCUCAACCACAGAAUUGCCUUCGAUACUGUAGAGCUUGAGACCGGAAGAGGUAAGUGGAACUGCGAGUGUAGAGGUGAAAUUCGUAGAUAUUCGCAAGAACACCAGUGGCGAAGGCGACUCGCUGGACAAGUAUUGACGCUGAGGUGCGAAAGCGUGGGGAGCAAACAGG
rnacentral:rRNA from 1 species